rnacentral:rRNA from 1 species
AUAGUUCAGCACUAAGUCACUUUGUCUUUAUGGCAAAUGUGAGAUGCAGUGUAUGGAAUGUCAAAUUUCUAGUAUGAGAAAUUAACGAUUUAAGUCCUUCUUAAAUGAGGCCAUUUACCCAUAGAGGGUGCCAGGCCCGUAUAACGUUAAUGAUUACUAGAUGGCAUUUCCAAAGAGUCGUGUUGCUUGAUAGUGCAGCACUAAGUGGGUGGUAAACUCCAUCUAAAACUAAAUAUAACCAUGAGACCGAUAGUAAACAAGUACCGUGAGGGAAAGUUGAAAAGAACUCUGAAUAGAGAGUUAAAUAGUACGUGAAACUGCUUAGAGGUUAAGCCCGAUGAACUUGAAUAUCCAUUAUAGAAAAUUCAUCAUUAUGAUUUAUAAUAUAUAAAUAAUAUUAUAAUAAUAGUGUGCAUUUUUUCUAUAUAAAGGACAUUGUAAUCUAUUAACAUUAAUGCAAGGAUUUAUCAUAAGAUCAUUUGCAAAAGUUUAUUCAAAUUAUUUUGCUUGCAAUUUAACAUAGAAUAAAUGCUUAUGAUUUGAUAAAGUGUUGAUAGAUUUAUUAUAAUAUAGUGCUUAAAUUUAUUUAUAAAUUUUAUAAUAGCAUAUUAAUCAAUGAUUUUUAUGUUUAUUAUAUGCACUUAUAUGAUUAACAAUGCGAAAGAUUCAGGAUACCUUCGGGACCCGUCUUGAAACACGGACCAAGGAGUCUAACAUAUUUGCAAGUUAUUGGGAAUAAAAACCUAAUAGCGAAAUUAACAUAACUUAUAUAAUGGGAUUAGUUUUUAGACUAUUUAUAGUCUAUUAAUUCAAUCCCGGGGCGUUCUAUACAGUUAUGUAUAAUAAUAUUUAUAUUAUUUAUACCUCUAACUAGAGCGUACCUUGAGCAUAUAUGCUGUGACCCGAAAGAUGGUGAACUAUACUUGAUC